AGGAUGAACGCUAGCGGCAGGCCUAAUACAUGCAAGUCGAACGGUGGUAGCAAUACCAUAGUGGCGCACGGGUGCGUAACACGUAAUUAACCUACCUAUAACUGGGGGAUAGCCCGCCGAAAGGCGGAUUAAUACCGCAUAAGCCACGAACCCGGCAUCGGGAUUUUGGUAAAGAUUUAUUGGUUAUAGAUGGGGUUGCGGGUCAUUAGCUAGUUGGUUGGGUAACGGCUGACCAAGGCGACGAUGACUAGGGGAGCUGAGAGGCUGGUCCCCCACACGGGCACUGAGAUACGGGCCCGACUCCUACGGGAGGCAGCAGUAGGGAAUAUUGGGCAAUGGGCGAGAGCCUGACCCAGCCAUGCCGCGUGCAGGAAGAGGCUUUCUGAGCCGUAAACUGCUUUUGACAGGGAAGAAUAAGCACUACGUGUAGUGCGAUGACGUACCUGCAGAAUAAGCACCGGCUAACUCCGUGCCAGCACGCCGCGGU
rnacentral:rRNA from 1 species